GUUCAAAGCCCUGGUUCUGCCGAUGUACGACCAUCUGAUGAAGAGUGCAAAAUGUUUUUAGAGAUGCUUCAUAGCAGUGAAAUGCAGGAGUCCAAGCCAAAGAAAAGUGCCAUCCUUUCUGUGAUCGAAGGCCAUUCCCACAGGUACACACCAAAAGUGAUGCAGUUGGACUUGCCCACUCCUCUGUCAACCUUAUAUUCAAGCCCCUGUCUACAGAUGGAUUUGCCCAUGCUACUGGUUGAAAGUGCCAAGGUUUUUGAUAACUUAGAUCUGACACAGCAACAGAUGGGGUCAGGUGAAUGAGGAAAGAGCAAGGCAAAACUACAAGGCUAUGAUGCAAGAUCAUCAUGAACGCUUCAAGGUUCAAGCAUCAGGGUUCAUCAUCCACCCAGACCAGCCCUGGAUCGGAGCAUCACCUGAUGGCAUGGUAACGUGCGCUUGCCAUGGUGACGGCGUACUGGAGAUAAAAUGCCCAUUCAACAGCAAGGACUGCUCACUCACUGAAAGCUGCAAAGAUCCAACAUUCUGUCUUCACAUAGAAGAAGAUGGGACAAUGGCACUUAAGACUGACCACAAGUUCAUGUAUCAAGUGCAAGCUCAAAUGCAUGUUGCCAAGGUGAGUUACUGUGAUUUUGUGGUAUGGACACUGCAGGAGAUUUUCAUCCAACGGAUCAAGUAUGAUCCUGUUUUCUUCCACAACGCCUACCUCAAAGUGGUGGAAUUCAUCAAGACCGGUGUACUACCAGAGCUGCUGGGGAAAUGGUACACAGCACCACGCCAUCCUCCCACAGACACUGCAACCACAGUG